ACUGGUUUAAAGAUUGCUGGCAGCACUCAUUGGGGAAGGCAGAAGUAUUUUGAAGCUCUUAACAUAGACCCUCACUAUGCUGUAUUAUCUCUUUCCUCUGUAGCACGUGUUCUCUUUCUAUUGGUUUGUACUUAUGCUCUAAGCUGUCACAACAAUGCUGCACAACAACGUCCUAUGUAUGCUGAAGCAUAUUGUAACAUGGGUGUAAUUUAUAAGAACCGUGGAAAUCUGGAGUUGGCUAUUCCUUGCUAUGAAAGGUGUUUGGUUGUGUCUCCGAACUUUGAUAUCGCAAAGAAUAACAUGGCAAUAGCCUUGACAGGCCUAGGAACAGAGACAUUAUUCAGUGAGCUUUGCAAAUUGUACGAUACAUAAGCCAGAACAUGUUGUGUUUGUUCUGGGUAGAAGGAUUGGAAAAGAUGCUUCCUUUCAAGCUCAAGCCGUUGCUGAAGUUGCAGAAGCUCAUCCGGUUAUUGUUAAGGGUGCCGCCAAGGGAGUUAGUGCACUUAGUGAGUAACUGUAAGAACCAUGUCAGUGGAGAUUAUGCCUGCAACAAAAGCAAUUGCUUCAUUUAAGCUGCCCACUUCAACUCUGGCAAGGUCUGAUAAGGGACAUACUAUAACUGCUCAUAUGUGCCGUCUUGAUGCUUUGAAGAGGACUUCUGGUGUGGCAGAGGUCUGCAGGAAGUUCUCCACUAAUGAGAAUACCAUCACAGUAGGAGGUUUGUAUGCAGUUGAUCCCUUCACAUCUGCGAAGUACAGGCUCAGCAACCGUGGGAAGUUUGCUGCUCUCAUGCUACACGAGCUCAAACUCAAGUCCUCGUGACACUCACUGGUGAGUUUGACACCAAGGCCUUGGAUAAGGCUCCCAGGUUCAGAUUGUCCCUUGCUUUCAAGCCUUGAGUGAUCGUCUUCUGAAUA